rnacentral:rRNA from 1 species
UAGGGAAUCUUCCACAAUGGACGCAAGUCUGAUGGAGCAACGCCGCGUGAGUGAAGAAGGUUUUCGGACCGUAAAGCUCUGUUGUUGGUGAAGAAGGAUAGAGGUAGUAACUGGCCUUUAUUUGACGGUAAUCAACCAGAAAGUCACGGCUAACUACGUGCCAGCAGCCGCGGUAAUACGUAGGUGGCAAGCGUUGUCCGGAUUUAUUGGGCGUAAAGCGAGCGCAGGCGGAAGAAUAAGUCUGAUGUGAAAGCCCUCGGCUUAACCGAGGAAUUGCAUCGGAAACUGUUUUCUUGAGUGCAGAAGAGGAGGGUAGAACUCCAUGUGUAGCGGUGGAAUGCGUAGAUAUAUGGAAGAAUACCAGUGGCGAAGGCGGCUCUCUGGUCUGCAACUGACGCUGAGGCUCGAAAGCAUGGGUAGCGAACAGGAUUAGAUACCCUGGUAGUCCAUGCCGUAAACGAUGAGUGCUAAGUGUUGGGAGGCUUCCGCCUCUCAGUGCUGCAGCUAACGCAUUAAGCACUCCGCCUGGGGGAGUACGACCGCAAGGUUGAAAC